GGAUGGUGGGAGUGUUCAGAAAAACCUGUUCAAAAAGUCUGUAUAAAGAAUUUUCAAAUUGCAGAGAUAUUAUUUUUAAUGAUAAUGGUUCAAAGAUGGAAUAUUAUAAAGCCACAUGUGAGAAUAAUGUAGUAAACACUCAAAAAAUGAACAAGGAAGGUUGUGGACUUUACAUUAUAUAUUUAUAUUCAGUUUACUUAUAAUAAUUAUAUUUGUUGACUUGAAAAGUUUUUUUCUAUUAAGGUCUACGUAAUUAUGUCUUAAAUUAACUGUACAGAGGGUGGCAGUAUAGUGCGACGCGAACUGCCAUAACCUCAAAUAAGAAGAAGAAGAGCAUGACUUGCCAGACUACACAUGCACAAAGAUAAUUCACUGCAAUUCUCUAAACUUGCUUGACCCUUGCAAAGUUUUUCCUCGAUUGGUUUUGACAGAACGUCUUACCUUUUCAACGGCUGGUAAAGGUCCUUAAUAAAAGGUGUGUUUUGUGUUCCUGCCAAGGUGCUUCACUCAUAAUAGGAGACGGGAGGUAGUCAGAGACCAACCCAUGAUAGAUUAGAUGGCCAGGACUGUUCACUGUGCCUGAGGUGGAAGCAGAAUUUCUGCAGUUUACCACUGUUCCCCUCGUCACAAAAUUUUUUGCACAACUUGACCACCACGCUGAUCAGCUCAUCAGAUUGCUGAAGAGUGGAUCUAAAGGAAGGCAAAUUGACCUGAUCUUUGCACCGACUGCACGGAAUGAAACCGCUGAAAAGAAGCGGGAGUGUUUCCUCCCGGCACUUUGUAUCUAUCUAAAUGAAAAUCCGAGCAGUCUCUUCUAAGAGUAUAUGUAUUCAGAUGGCUGAGCUGCCCAGAGGGAGCUUGAUGAACUUGUCUUUGGCAUCUACAGCAUUAAUGCUGAGGGAGGUGAUGCCACCAGCACUCCAUUUGAUGUUGGAAUAGGAAUUGAGGGUGUUGAAGUGCUUCAUGACUUGGAAGACAUAGCUUCUGCAUGUGCAUAUGCAAUGAACCUCAGCUAUCCUCAGGAACUGAAAAUGUUCUUUGAGGUGCUUCAGAAAAUCUUCCUCCCACUGGAUGCUUCCAGACUCUCACCCAUGGUACAGAUGCUUAAAAACACUGUAUGAGUGAACCAACAUUGAAUGUUUGGCGUUUGAAGGCCUGAUUUGCACUGGAAACCAUUUAAUUGAAAAACUUAAGCUUAUAAAACUUUUCUCUUUUUUUGUGAGGCGCACCACUGUUCUGGGUGACAUGUUUCUUUGUCAUGUAAAGCGUGUCAAGAAUUUUUUUCACAGCAUUAAUGCUGAGGUUGGUCAUACUGCCACCACGCCAGUUUACAGUGUUAGAAAAGUGAUUGAGGGUGUUGAUGUGCAUCACGACUUGAAAGUUAAUUUACCUUUUUAUAUUUUAUUGUGUGUGUGUGUGUGUGUGUGUGUGUGUGUGUGUAGCACACACCAGUGUUCUGGGUGACAUGUUUCUCUGUCAUGUAUGUACUUAAAGCAACACUAUGUAGUUUCCAUGUAAAAUGACUUACAGCUCCCCCAUGUGGUUGAAAAGCGCAACAGUGCCUGGUAUCAGACACUCUUCUGCAGGCAGGGGGAGGGGCGGGGCUGUGUGCUCUACCCUCCACCGCCACUUUCAGAGUGUGCUUUUAGCAGCUAGGAGGUUGCUCAGGUUGCAGCAACAGUACAAUUUGUCCAGUUAAAAGUUGUUCCAUCACUGAAAUAAUUUUAGAGACAUUAUUUAAAUGUAAAAAAAACUACAUAGUGUUGCUUUAAACAAUGAGUGAACCAACAUUGAGCACUUAAAAGUUUGUGGCGUUUAACAUAAAGGCCUGCUUUACACUUAAAACCAUUUAAUAGAAAAACACUUAACAGAUUGUAUUCUAUUUAUCUUUAUUUGUCUGCAACUUCUAAACAAAUUUUGUUAGUCCAUAAAACAUAACUGAUUUUAGGUAAUUGAACUUAAAUGUCUUUUGUUGGGUGAAAAUUAGUGAUAAUAGUUGGCUAAACUUAAAGAAAUUACUUGUCCCUAAAACAACCCUAUUACAUUGAACAACCUUACAAUAUUUGUUUUCAACUUAAUUAAAUUAUGUGGAACCUGUUGACAAGAAAAAAUAAAUUAAAGUCAACGUUUUAGGAAGUAAUUUGUCAAUCAUCGAGUUGACAGAGUAAAGCACGCCCCUUUUGAUCCAGUGCUGAGGCGGCUUGCUGGUACUUAAGUAAGGCUGAACCCUGACCUCCCGCCGUCUACCUUUAUGCUUGGGAUAGGAGGUAAAGCUUCGUACCUCUUCAGAGCAUCUGCCCCAUGAGGUUUAAAAGCCUCCGAUGAGGUGGGCAUUUUGAAUGACGACUGGAAGAAAUUAUUCAGAUAGAUAUAUUACACUGUGCGUCAAAAUCGAGCCUAUGUAGGCUCAAUGUUUAUGUUGGCACGCAAAUGGGUAACAAACUCCGAGCCAAAUAUGUUUGUUCAUACCAAAAUAGGUUUUGACGAGUUGUUACAAACGAGGUUGCAUUGUUACCUGUUCUCGUAGCUGUUAAUUUGCUCUAUAUGACAUCUGUUACCGCGAGAGAAAUUUGCAGUUUUGCAUUUUCUGAAAACACUUU